AUAAAAACAUAAAAAGGAGAGGCAGGCAUAAAAACAUAAAAAGGAGAGACAGGCCUAGCCUCCCAGCCUGCAUCUUUCACCCCUGCUGGAUGCCUCCUGCCCUUGAACAUCAGACUCCAAGUUCUUCAGUUUUGGGACUGGCUCUCCUUGCUCCUCAGCUUGCAGAGAGCCUAUUGAGCCUAUUGUGGGACCUUGUGAUCGUAAGCUGAGGACCAGAGGAGUGACUCUCGCACAGCGGCUCGGUGCCUGAGCUGGAAUUCCAACCAGGGCUGUCGCCCUCUAAAGCCCUGCCAUGGCAGUGCUGCCAGCUCACUCUCCUUGGGCUCCCUUCCCACCUCCCACAUCCCCAUGUCCCCAUGGACUCCUGGUGCCACGGCACAGCUGCAUGGGGGUGAUUCAUGCUGGACACCUGAGACACAAGGAGAGGAGGCAGGGAGCUGCCGAAAGAGGUUCAGUUAAAAACUUCCAACAAUGAGGGAAGAUGGGAUUUCCUCAUUUUGGCCAGGCCGGUCUUGAGCUCCUGACUUCAAGUAUUCUGCUCACCUCGGCCUCAGAAAGUACUGGAAUUACAGGCUUGAGCCAUCACGCCCGGCUUCGCUCCUGCUUUUGCCAUGUGACGUGCCUGCUCCCACUUUGCAUUCUGCCAUGAUGUCUCAAAAAUAAAAAUAAAAGUUUAAAAAAAUUGGAAGUUAAAGCUAAAGAAAAUCUUCUAGACUAAGAGAAAAACAAGAUAAAACACUAUAGAAAAAAUGAUAGAUAAUAUAAGGACCUCCAAGUAAUAUGAACUUCCCAAAGAGAGAACAGAAAAAAUGAAGGGAGAGAGUUAUAUAUAUAUAACUGCAGAUAUAUAACUAUAUAUACAUAUCAUUCUAUAUACCUAAGUAUAUAUAUCUAUAGGUAUAACUAUAUAUGUGAUGUGUAUAUAUAUGAAGAAGACAAACAAGAAUGAAGAGAAGAAACAGAAGAAAAUAUCUCAGAGCUAAUGAAAGAUAGUCUUCAGACUGAAAUGGCUGAAUUUAAAGACUACAUCUAUCUAUAUCUGUAUCUAUCUAUCUAUAUAUACACACACACAACACACAUAUACAUAAUAUAAUUACAGAACAAAUAUUUUAAAGAGAAAGGUUUUAAAAGCUUCACAAAUGACGUGGGUAGAGAGAGAGAGAGGCUUCUACAGCAAAUAAAGUCACACACUGGCCUUAGAACUCACAUCAAUAAUGCAGAAGCUAGCAGACAACAGAUCAGUGCUUUCAAAGUUCAGGUGGAGAUGUCUUUGAACCUUAAAUCUUAU
ensembl:lncRNA novel transcript